GACAACAGGUAACAGAUGUAUUCACUAAAGUCAACAAGCUGUAUCUGGACUCAGUCACCAAUGAAGAGCUUCAACAGUAUUCCUGUGCUGUAGGAGAUUCAGUGAACAGCACAGCGUUUAGCCAUUAUACAGUCACUCUGCUGGUGUUUUUACCUCAGUUUCUCACAAUAGCAGCUCUGUGGGUGGGGUAUUUCAUCAAAAUCUCCUUUCAUAACCAAACUGAAAACAAAAAUGAAGAGGUGAGAAAUCAUUGAUAUACAGAAUCUGCAAUAGUAUUUGAAAUGCAUUGCUACAAAAAUGAUUCUAAAUAUGUUUUAUAAUCUUCUUUUUGUCUCAUAUUCUGAUGUUCCAGAUGACUUAAUCUACAGCUGCUGAUUGUCAAUCA